CAGUCGCCGCGGUAAUACGGAGGGGGCUAGCGUUGUUCGGAAUUACUGGGCGUAAAGCGCACGUAGGCGGCUUUGUAAGUCAGAGGUGAAAGCCCGGGGCUCAACCCCGGAAUUGCCUUUGAGACUGCAUCGCUUGAAUCCAGGAGAGGUGAGUGGAAUUCCGAGUGUAGAGGUGAAAUUCGUAGAUAUUCGGAAGAACACCAGUGGCGAAGGCGGCUCACUGGACUGGUAUUGACGCUGAGGUGCGAAAGCGUGGGGAGCAAACAGGAUUAGAGACCCGCGUAGUCCCUGUCUCUUAUAC
rnacentral:rRNA from 1 species